rnacentral:misc_RNA from 1 species
AAUAGAACGAGAAUGAGGAUAAGAAGGUCAAGGGUUGCCGAUGGAGAGUGUUUACAAAGAAGGGAAUUGCUAGGGCUAGGGUUUGUUGAAGUCUUGGAUUUGGAGAUUGAUGACGAUGAAGUGAGAAUUGAGGACGGAGGCAUGGCGGUGGUCGGAACCAGAAGAUUGCGCAUGAUAUAGAGAGAGCCCAGUGGGAGCUUUCGCUAUAAUGGAGUUUCAAAAAUUAGGGCAAACUUAGGGAUCUGACUGUAAAAAUGGGAUUUGAGAGAAAGGAAGAUUGAUGAAGAAGAAGAAGAAGAAUGGCGCACGUUAGCGAAGUGGUGGUGACGAACCGGCGAUUGUGAGCCGUCUGAUUGAGGAUCUCACACG